UACGUAGGGUGCGAGCGUUAAUCGGAAUUACUGGGCGUAAAGCGUGCGUAGGCGGUUCGUUAAGUUCGUUGUGAAAGCCCCGGGCUCAACCUGGGAAUGGCAAUGGAAACUGGCGGGCUGGAGUAUGGCAGAGGGGGGUGGAAUUCCGCGUGUAGCAGUGAAAUGCGUAGAGAUGCGGAGGAACACCGAUGGCGAAGGCAGCCCCCUGGGCCAAAACUGACGCUCAUGCACGAAAGCGUGGGGAGCAAACAGG
rnacentral:rRNA from 1 species